rnacentral:rRNA from 1 species
GACGUAGGGCGCGAGCGUUGUCCGGAUUUAUUGGGCGUAAAGAGCUCGUAGGCGGUUCGAUAAGUCGGACGUGAAAUCUCCACGCUCAACGUGGAGGGCCGUUCGAUACUGUCGUGACUCGAGUCCGGUAGGGGAGUGUGGAAUUCCCGGUGUAGCGGUGAAAUGCGCAGAGAUCGGGAGGAACACCCGUAGCGAAGGCGGCACUCUGGGCCGGUACUGACGCUGAGGAGCGAAAGCGUGGG